rnacentral:rRNA from 1 species
UACGGGGGGAGCAAGCGUUGUUCGGAUUUACUGGGCGUAAAGGGCGCGUAGGCGGCGUGUUAAGUCAGCUGUGAAAUCUCCAGCUUAACUUGGAACGGUCAGCUGAUACUGAUGUGCUAGAGUGCAGAAAGGGCAAUCGGAAUUCUUGGUGUAGCGGUGAAAUGCGUAGAUAUCAAGAGGAACACCUGAGGCGAAGGCGGGUUGCUAGGCUGACACUGACGCUGAGGCGCGAAAGCUAGGGUAGCAAACGGG